CCCUCAUUCGUGCUUCAGACUACCCGCCAUUGAAUUCAGAAAAAAAUUGCCCUAGUCAUCUGCAAACUCCUCUCUCCUUUUUCCCUAUCUAUAUCCAGCAUCAUGAACCACCGUUUCCGAUUCCGAUCACCUCCUUCGAUCUCCCUCCGAUUAUCUUCCAAUUGGCGGAGCUGCUGCUGUAUUCUCUGUAAAAUCGUCGUCCUCUAUCCGAUCUGCCACUCGCGAUUUUCUAAUUCGUAAGGUGAGAUUAGUUCACUCGAUAGCUCUAGAUCUUUCCUUUUUGAUUCGUAUAAACAAUUUUUUUCGUAUUUGUAUUAUGUAUAUUGUAUUUGAGAUUUUGUGUUUGGUUUUUUUAGGGUUAAUAUGGAACCUAUGGACAUUGUUGGUAAAAAUAAGGAGGAUGCUUCGCUUCCCAAAGGUUAUUUUCUUCCCUUCUCCCUAUAUUCCAUGUUCUAUUUUGUUUUUGCAUGUUUGCGCCUCGAUUAAGCUACUAAAUAUGCCUACCACUUCCCACCAUCCCUGGUAUUGCG
rnacentral:lncRNA from 1 species